rnacentral:ncRNA from 1 species
AUGUUACAUGAAAGGAAAGAAUAGGACUCCCUCCACAAGGAUGGAAGAGGCUCUCAGGCCUACAACACACAUAUGGGUGAGGCAUUACCUCCUACCUUGUGGCAUGGCAUCUACCCUGGUUU